CCCUUUGUGUCCAAAUUCUCUGAAUAAUUAUGGCAAUUCCUCUCUUUUAUUUGCCUUAUAGGCACUACUUAAAUACCAACAGGAGCAGCUCACUGAGUUCACAAGGCCUUCCGGAGACUUCUCACAAAGCCGCUAGAUGGCAUGAGAGCACUGCACUGGACCCGCUCAGCCACACGGCCGCGUGUAACACUGAGGCAUUUAUUCUCUUCAUGCUGAGAGCUCAGUGUUUAGUCAAGACCUUGUGGAGUAUCUUUUCCAUGUUGAAACACUUGAGCACCAAAGAGAAGAGCUAAGAUGAUCAACUAAAUGCAGCCACCGAGACUCUCCCACCAAGAGACUAGACCAUCAAGAAGACUGGUACACUCUGAGCAUCUUAGGAAGAAAGGCAUUGAGAGUGAACAGAGGGAGAACAGAAACCCUGGGCUGAAAGGGGAGGGAGCUGAGAAUGCUGCACAGGGUUGCCAAGCACUAGGACUCAUUCCUGGCCCUGAGCAGUGCCCAGGGAAGGAGUGGGUUAAAUAAGCAUGGAGUAGACAACUCUCACCAUGGACCUCUAGAAUCCUAGCUGCAGGAGACCCUAUGACCUCCAUCGACAUUUGAGCUAGCAGGAAGAGCUGCUUGGAGAGUUGUUAGGGACAUGAUUCUAGCCUCUGUGGAGCACAGAGGGUUUGGCAAGGGAAUAGGUGCAGAGGAGCACAACCAGGGAUCCCUGUCAUGCAAGGCUCAUUGCACUCCUUUAGGUCGCUUAGGGCUUUGUUGACCAGCAGACUGGGACAAACCAUGGGAUGGAGCUAGUCUGAUCUGAGCACAUCCCUCUCUGCUAGCUUCUCCCAGGAUCCUUGCCUGGCUGCAUCUGCUUGCAGAGCAGCCUCAGAUACCCAAUUGGGGUACUUCCCAGUGGCUAUUGCCAUAGCUUUCUCACUGGCAGACCCCACCUAACCAUCUAAUAACUUCUGCAGAUAGGCCCCCACUGGCAUGCACCCACCUGUAGCCUUCUUCCAUUGCUUUGCCAGUGCACACUUGUGCACAGCCUCCCCUCAGUGCUUUGGCAGCACACGUGUGGCGCCUGCCACGCCACUACCCAACUACUACUGGUGCACGUGGACCUUGCCGUGCUGCUUAAUUACCAGUGACAUGUGUAUGCAAAUAUGGACCCAGCUGCUACCACCCCAAUGAAGUGCUUCUGCUGGCACCCAACCCCCCAUCAGAGUUUUGUUGCCAGCAGACCGUGAACACUUUGACACCUCUAGCGCAGGCACUCAAUCUCUAGGGCAAGGAAACAAAGCCCAGGCCCCAUGGGUUAGAGGACAGCUUAGGAGUGCUGAACUGAGCAUUGGCCCCCGAAAUACUCCAGAAAUGAAACCAAUUGACUGAACCCAACUUACAGCACAGACAAACCCUCAAGGACAUCAAAGACUAUAAAAGCAAAAAGCCCCAUUCAAAGGGCAGCAACUUCAAAGAUUAAAGGAAAAUUAGCCCAAACAGAUGAGAAAGAACCAGUGCAAGAACCCUGGCAACUCAAAAGAACUAGAGUGCCUUCUUACCUUCAACAGACCUCAGUAGCUCUGCAGCAAUGGUCCUUUUCUUGACUGAAAUAGCUGAAAUGAUAGAGUUCAGAAUCCGGAUGCUGGAUAAGCUUAUUGAGAUUCAAGAGGAAAUAGAAAUCCAAUUCAAGGAAUAUAAGAACUUCAGUUAAAUGAUACAAGAGCAAAAGACAAAAUAGCCAUUUGAAGAAAGAACAAAACUGAUCUAAUAGAACUGUAAACUCACUAUAAGAAUUUCAUAAUACAAUGGGAAGUAUUAGUAGCAGAAUAGAACAAGCUCAGGAAAUAAUCUCAGAUCUCAAAGACUGGUCCUUUGAAUCAAUUCACUCAGACAAAAAUAAAGAAAAAAAGAGUAAAAAGGAAGGAACA
rnacentral:lncRNA from 13 species